rnacentral:rRNA from 1 species
ACGGAAGGCAGCAGUGGGGAAUAUUGGACAAUGGGGGAAACCCUGAUCCAGCGACGCCGCGUGUGUGAAGAAGUAUUUCGGUAUGUAAAGCUCUUUAAGUUGGGAAGAAAAUGACGGUACCAACAGAAUAAGCCCCGGCUAACUACGUGCCAGCAGCCGCGGUAAUACGUAGGGGGCAAGCGUUAUCCGGAUUUACUGGGUGUAAAGGGAGCGUAGACGGCAAUGCAAGUCUGAAGUGAAAGCCCGCGGCUUAACUGCGGGACUGCUUUGGAAACUGUAUGGCUAGGGUGUCGGAGAGGUGAGUGGAAUUCCCAGUGUAGCGGUGAAAUGCGUAGAUAUUGGGAGGAACACCGGAGGCGAAGGCGGCUCACUGAACGAUUACUGACGUUGAGGCUCGAAAGCGUGGGGAGCAAACAGGAUUAGAUACCCUGGUA